CAGUGGGGAAUAUUGCACAAUGGGCGCAAGCCUGAUGCAGCCAUGCCGCGUGUAUGAAGAAGGCCUUCGGGUUGUAAAGUACUUUCAGCGGGGAGGAAGGUGUUGUGGUUAAUAACCGCAGCAAUUGACGUUACCCGCAGAAGAAGCACCGGCUAACUCCGUGCCAGCAGCCGCGGUAAUACGGAGGGUGCAAGCGUUAAUCGGAAUUACUGGGCGUAAAGCGCACGCAGGCGGUCUGUCAAGUCGGAUGUGAAAUCCCCGGGCUCAACCUGGGAACUGCAUUCGAAACUGGCAGGCUUGAGUCUUGUAGAGGGGGGUAGAAUUCCAGGUGUAGCGGUGAAAUGCGUAGAGAUCUGGAGGAAUACCGGUGGCGAAGGCGGCCCCCUG
rnacentral:rRNA from 1 species